rnacentral:tRNA from 3 species
GCCCGGGUGGUGGAAUGGCAGACACGGCUGCCUUAAAAGCGGCUGCUGAAAAGCGUGCGGGUUCGAUUCCCGCCCCGGGUA